CCUACGGGUGGCUGCAGUGGGGAAUAUUGGACAAUGGGGGGAACCCUGAUCCAGCCAUGCCGCGUGUGUGAAGAAGGCCCUCGGGUUGUAAAGCACUUUCAGUGAGGAAGAACGCCUGGUGGUUAAUACCCAUCAGGAAAGACAUCACUCACAGAAGAAGCACCGGCUAACUCCGUGCCAGCAGCCGCGGUAAUACGGAGGGUGCGAGCGUUAAUCGGAAUUACUGGGCGUAAAGCGCGCGUAGGUGGCUUGAUAAGCCGGUUGUGAAAGCCCCGGGCUCAACCUGGGAACGGCAUCCGGAACUGUCAAGCUAGAGUGCAGGAGAGGAAGGUAGAAUUCUCGGUGUAGCGGUGAAAUGCGUAGAGAUCGGGAGGAAUACCAGUGGCGAAGGCGGCCUUCUGGACUGACACUGACACUGAGGUGCGAAAGCGUGGGUAGCAAACAGGAUUAGAUACCCUAGUAGUC
rnacentral:rRNA from 1 species